ACAACACCGACAUGCAGCACGAGCUAUGGAGGACAGCGAGGUAAACACGACUCGAUCUGAAAAAAGAAAAUGCAGCUAUAACAGAGACUGGGAAACUAUUUACCCCUGGGGGAAACCAGUGCAAGGUGACUCUUGUAAAGUUUUUGUGAAGUUUGUUUGAGUCAUUUUUCCGUUUCACACGGAGGUGAAUACGAUGUGAAUAGACACAGACAAUGCGAGACUCACAAAAAACGUGUAGCUCAAAAGGAGACUUCCCAGUGUAUGCAUACGUUCCUGCUAAAACCCAAACUAGAUUCAAGCGUAGAUAAAGUAACAGCAGCUGAACUAACUAGCGUUUACCACACUGUGAAACACUCCCUAUCAUACAGGUCAGAAGACUGCGGUAAUAAGCUAACAUCGACCAUGUUUCCAGACUCUGAGAUUGCAAAAAAAAUGUCAUGUGGUCGUACAAAGGCAGCAUCCAUAGUUACAGAUGUGCUUGCACCUGCCUCUGUGGAGAGUUGUUUAAAGGAAUUAAAAACGCCUGUGGUUCAAGAAGUCACAAGUGAUGAAAAAAUCCACACACCAUUUUUUUCAGUGGCUUCAGAUGCAUCUAACCAUGGCACCACAAAACUCUUCCCACUGUCUUUGAGAUAUUGGACACCAGAGCUGGGUUUGAAAAACAAAAUCCUUGAUUUUUAUGAAGAUAGCCAUGAGUCAGCUGCUACCAUACACCGCCAGAUUACAAGCAAGCUAGAGGAAAAUGGCCUACAACUGGACAUGAUUUCAGCUUAUGCUGCUGAUAAUGCUAGUGUAAACUAUGGGAAAAAUAAUUCUGUUUUCCAAAAGCUAAAGGCAGACAACAAUCGCAUCAUCAAGGCAAACUGUAUGGCCCAGGAUGGCCCUAGAAGCUGCAUGCUCAAGCAAAAAGUACAAAGUCAAGAGUAACAUCUAAGAUGCAUUCUCUGGUGCUAGAAGUACAUUGUCUGUGUGGGCCCAGCCUGCCUGCAGUUGUUGGUGUGAUGGAGAAAACUGAAAGACCUAUGAUGGACAGAAGUUCAAAAAAUCAGCCAGGUGUUCUUCUUGGUGCUGAAAGAGCAUUGAUUGUGUUAUGAUAAAUGGAUGGAUAGAUGAUUAUUUAAUAUAUUUUUUGUUUCCUCUUGACCAAUUUUGAUUUGUAUUUCUGGUUUUAUUUGUUUUUUUUAUUAAUUUAUGUAAUUGCUAAUUUUAUACCCAGUGGUGCCUUUAGAUUAGUAAAUGUUUUUUUGUAGUCAAUUUACGUGAUUCUCGUUUGACUGAGUUUUGUUUUGUGCAGAUAAACAGCCUAUGCUGCAUUAUCCAGUACAUGGUCAAUUUGUUCUACUAGAAAAAAGGACUAAUGUGGUGUUUGGUUUGUGCUGGAGUUGUUGUUGCUCUCUGUUGUUCGAGAAAACUGGAAAGCCGUAUCCCUAAGCACAUUAAAGAACUGUCUGUUCUGUUAAGUUUCUUUCAUUUAUUUAUAUAUAUUUAAACACAUUAUUAUUUGCAGUUUUAUGUGCUAAAGGGGCAGAAUAGAGAUGUUUAAUUUAAAGUUAUUUUACCCUAUUACACACUAUUUUAUCUCGAUGCAUUAGUGUCCCACAUUCUCCCACACAAACAUAGUUUGUCCCACAUCUUUGUCCCACAUCUGGUAAAUUGGAAUCUGGUCACCCUACACGUGAAUUCCAUUAAAAAUUUUGAACAACAGAGGGACGUAACCUCGUAACCUUGAAGUGAAGAUGGUUUGCCAAGAGAAAUGGUACAAAAUACAACCACAAUGCUACAUUACUUCUUACUGUAGACAUCUCAAAGCUGUAAUUGGCACUACUACUACUAAUAUUAUUCAUUUCAUGUCUGAAUACCUUUUAGCUAUAAAUGUUUACAUUUUUUAUAUCUUUGUUUAUGCUUAUGCUUGAAUAUGCACUUUUUUGUUCAUAUUUAAAAAUACAAAGUCAAAAGACAUUAUGUGUGUAAAUUUAAAGUGAAUGGUAACACUUUACUAUAGGUAUUAUUCAUAAUGUUACAUGACACCUACACAAGCCUGUCAUGACACCUGACAUAACCCUACAUAAAUGAUUCUUAAUGCUUAUUCCAAUAGCUAGCGUUUGCUAUGAAGUUACAUUUGCCAAGUUUGAUCAAAGUUAGCUAAAGUAGCCUUUAUGACAUGACUUAACCUUACAUAAAUAUAUAUGGAUGGAUGGAUGUCUGUUGUCAUGAAAAACGUAUGUAGGUGUCAUGCAGCCUUAUAAACAGUAAAAUGUUACCAAUAGAAUAUAUGCACCAAAAGCAUAUUAAAUAACAAAAAGUAUCUGCAUGCUGGUUUACCCUAACUGUAAAAAUAAAAUAUUGCUUACAUCCUCAAA